UUUAUUUUCAUUAUGACAUUACCAUCCAAAAAUUAUUAUAAUAUAUCCCUUCUCUUCUUUGAUCUUUUGUCGGUGCAUUUAUGUGGGAGAGGUUCGCUCUAGACCAGUGGAAGAACAGUUAUAAUGUGUUCACUGUAAGGGAGUUGUCUUCAAUCAUCCGAAUGACUUAGAGGACCAUGCUCAACAAAAACACCAGGAGUACAAGGCUCUGUGCUGUUUCUGUGGUAAUCUUUUUCAGACGAAAAAGAAUCUCAAUCUACAUCUAAGAGAGUGCUUUCACUCUCAAGGAAAACACAAAAGGAGUAAUACCAUUGCUGUUUCUUCAAUCUAAGCUCAUGAAUGGAAAUGGCGCGCUAUACUAAGUUACAUCAUCAAAAAUGUGAUAUUAUUUGCCAUCUUUACGGAAACGGCUUUAAAAAGAAAAGGAAUUUGAGAUUUCAUCAAAGAAAGGUAAUGUUUAUUUUAUUUUCAUUACGACAUUACCAUCCGAAAAUUAUUAUAAUAUAUCCCUUCUCUUCUUUGAUCUUUUGUCGGUGCAUUUAUGUGGGAGAGGUUCGUUCUAGACUAGUGGAAGAACAGUUCACAUGUGUUCACUGCAAGGGAGCUGUCUUCAAUCAUCCGAGUGACUUAGAGGACCAUGCUCAACAAAAGCACUGAGAGUACAAGGUUCUGUGCUGUUUCUGCGGUAAUCUUUUUCAGACAAAAAAGAAUCUCAAUCUAUAUCUGAGAGAGUGCUUUCACUCUCAAGGAAAACACAAAAGGCAGUAAUAUCAUUGCUGUUUCUUCAAUCUAAGCUCAUGGUAAAGAAUCUUAGUGCUUUUUUUUUUUCUUUUGGUUCCUUUUAUUGUGCUAGCAUAUAACAACCCCUUUUGUGCUCAUGGUAAACUCUUGAAGAUGAAGAACAAGAAUGAAAGAAGAAGAGAGAGAGAGAGUGAAGGAGGAGAAUUUUCUGAAAAAUGAAAUGUAUUAGCUGAAUUGACUAGUUUGUUACAGUGCAUUAGUAUUUACAGUCUCUAACUCCGAAAGUUCCAAACCAUUUCUAAUGCUA